GAUGAACGCUGGCGGCGUGCCUAAUACAUGCAAGUCGAGCGAACGGACGAGAAGCUUGCUUCUCUGAUGUUAGCGGCGGACGGGUGAGUAACACGUGGAUAACCUACCUAUAAGACUGGGAUAACUUCGGGAAACCGGAGCUAAUAACGGAUAAUAUUUUGAACCGCAUGGUUCAAAAGUGAAAUACGGUCUUGCUGUCACUUAUAGAUGGAUCCGCGCUGCAUUAGCUAGUUGGUAAGGUAACGGCUUACCAAGGCAACGAUGCAUAGCCGACCUGAGAGGGUGAUCGGCCACACUGGAACUGAGACACGGUCCAGACUCCUACGGGAGGCAGCAGUAGGGAAUCUUCCGCAAUGGGCGAAAGCCUGGCGGAGCAACGCCGCGUGAGUGAUGAAGGUCUUCGGAUCGUAAAACUCUGUUAUUAGGGAAGAACAUAUGUGUAAGUAACUGUGCACAUCUUGACGGUACCUAAUCAGAAAGCCACGGCUAACUACGUG
rnacentral:rRNA from 1 species